rnacentral:rRNA from 1 species
GAGGAGCCCGCGCCCGAUUAGCUAGUUGGUGAGGUAACGGCUCACCAAGGCAAUGAUCGGUAGCUGGUCUGAGAGGAUGAUCAGCCACACUGGAACUGAGACACGGUCCAGACUCCUACGGGAGGCAGCAGUGGGGAAUCUUGCACAAUGGGCGAAAGCCUGAUGCAGCGACGCCGCGUGGGGGAUGAAGCAUUUCGGUGUGUAAACCCCUUUCGAUCCGGACGAAACCCCGCAAGGGAUUGACGGUACGGAUAUAAGAAGCCCCGGCUAACUACGUGCCAGCAGCCGCGGUAAGACGUAGGGGGCCAGCGUUGUUCGGAAUUACUGGGUGUAAAGGGUUCGUAGGCGGUGCAGCAAGUCGGGAGUGAAAUCUCUGGGCUUAACCCAGAGGCUGCUUCCGAAACUGCUGUGCUUGAGUGUGGGAGAGGCGCGUGGAAUUGCAGGUGUAGCGGUGAAAUGCGUAGAUAUCUGCAGG